ACGGGAAGAGCACUGGCGGGGAGGAGGGAGCCUGGGUCCCAGCACCACCUGGAUGAUAACAGGAAGACCAGUGGCUGAUGCCGACGGCCUCUUGUGUGCCAGGCAGGCCAGCCCCCUUUCAUAGAUGAAACUGAAGCUCAGAGGGGAAUGGGGCUACUGAAAGGCAGGGCUGGGAUUCAGAUCCAUGAAAUGCUUCUAACCCCCAGUCCCCUCUCUGUCGUAUGCUUGUCCCUAUCUCCUGCUCUCCAAUCCUCAAGUUACUCCUCUGAAAAAUGGGCUGAAGCUCCCAGAGGGCCUCCCCCAGUGGUGGGCCAGCAGUCCUCACUCCCUUGACCCUGAUGAAGGAGGUGACCUGUGCUGGGUGGUGGAGAGGCCCUCUCUGGGGGAGGCCUCCCGCUCAGCCUGUCCCCUCCCCAGGUGGCGCUGUCCUCCUCUCUGCGGCUGGGGAAGGGCAAGCUGGCCGCCCGCCUGGCCCUGGCUCACCCUUUCAGCCUCUCCUGGCGGCAGGCCGAGGCCAGUGGCCUUGCUGAGAGCAGGGGCGGCAGGCAGAGCUGGCAGGUGCAGCUUGCCUGGAACGGAGGGCAGCCGCUGGCCUUGCAGCUCACCUGGGCCAACAGGUCCUCGACGCAGAGCACCUCCUGGGAUGGUUGCGUGGCUGCCUCCCUGGGGCAGCUCCAGGACACCUGGGGCCUGGGCACCCUCAGGGCCUGUGGGGCCUUAACGCAGACCCCAGCUGUGCUCAGCGAGUGGCUGGAUCUGUCCUGGGACGGACGCCAGGUGCGGCAGAACCUGACUUACGAGAGGCGCCAGCCAUUCCUCCCGGACAAGAUCCAUGCAGAGGCCAUGCUGGAGCAUGUCCUCGGGGCCCCCUGCUCCACGCAGAGCUUCUGGGGAGACGUGGAGACAGACCAUGCCCGCUGGGUGCGCCACUCCCUGCGGCUGGGGCUCUGCCACCUGCCCACGGCACUCUCAGUCUCUGGGGAGCACACCCUGGGCAGCGGUGAGCUCCUGCUACACUCCAGAUGCCAGCUGGGCCUCGCCCCAGACCCAGAUCACGGCCUGCACCUCAGCCUGACACUCCACAACCACAGCAGGCCCCGGACGCAUGACUACUCCGGGGAGCUGGAGGUAAGGUGGCUGCCCGCCCCAGAGGAAAAGACCCUGAUGGCCAUCUGUCCCAGUCUGGCCAGUGGACCACCACUGACUGGGCAGCCCUGCCAUCUAGUGGCCAGUAUUGGAACUGCAGACAGGCACACAGAGGGGGCCUGAGCUUACUUGUAGUGGGAACCCCUGAGCCUGCCCACCCCUGACCCCCAGCCCUCCACCACCAAAACAGCUCCUCUGCUGCCCCAACACCAGCCUUUCCCAUAACCAAGAGGCAAUGGCUGGACUGCCUGGGCUUGAACCCCAGCCCCACCUCUUCCUAGCUAGCAAUUUACCUCCCCUGUCUGUGCCUCAGUUUCCUCACCUCUAAAGUGGGGGAUAAUCAUUGCACCUGUCCUACCUCCCAUGGGAUUAAUAUCAUAGGGAUUAAAUAUCUUAACGUGUACGUUGCUUAGAACAGUGCCGGGUACAAAGCCAGCACUAAGGAUUAGCUUCUUAUAUUGUGUCUGUUCACUCACUCAGUCGUGUCUGACUCUGUGACUUCAUGGACUGUAGCUCACCAGGCUCCUCUGUCCAUGGAAUUUUCCAGACAAGAAUACUGGAGUGGUAGCCAUUUCCUACUCCAGGGGAUCUUCCUGACCCAGGGAUUGAACCUGUGUCCCUUGCAUUGGCAGGUGGAUUCUUUACCACUGCACCACCUGGGAAACUCCAGCUGCUAUUACUAUUGGCUAUUACUGGCCCAGUCUUAUCUUGUCUCUCCCUUUCCUGGCAACCCAGGGAGGUAGAAAGGGUUCAAUACCUGCCCUGCCCUCAUCUGGCCAAACGGUAUUGGAAAGGGACCUCUCCAAGCCCCAUUUCCUUACCUGAAAGUGGGGGUCAGAUAUAUUUCAUAAGGCGGUCAGUGGGGUUCUGGGCACCCCUUCUCCACCCACGCAGCAUGGGUGUAGAGUAGGUGCCCCAUCACUGCUGCCAUAAGCCUAUCUCUGUGUCUCCCUGACCUUGACCUUGUGACUUUCCCUUUACAAGCC
rnacentral:lncRNA from 1 species